GCAGGUAAAGUUUUUUGAAUAUCAAGUUGCAAAUUUUGAUGGUAAAGCUUGCU
rnacentral:tRNA from 1 species